UUAUAAUAUACUUGUGAGUAAAAAUAAUUAUGUAAUAAAUUUAAUAUGAUUUUCAUUGAAAUAGUAAAUUAAGGAGUGAAUGUUAUGGUGUUUUUUUGUUCAAAUCUCCUCAAGAUUUCAUAAAUCAUAAAUUAUAAAACCAAAACAAAAGAAAUAAUAAUGUUAAGUUGUUAACCCACAAAACAGACAAGAGCACAAAUCCUAAUCCAAAAUAAACCAAAAUAAAAAAAUAAACCAACCCAAAAACAAAACAAAAUUCAUAAAGUAGAAACAAAUAAACUAAGAACAAAAAACAUGAAACACCAAAAGCACUCCUCUAGUCAGCAAAUUAGCUGGCACCCACUCCUUAGAAAAUAUCCCACCCUCGAAACUAGUCGAUACCAAUUCCAAAAACCAACAGCCUUUCAUAAACC
rnacentral:lncRNA from 1 species